GAUGAACGCUGGCGGCGUGCCUAAUACAUGCAAGUCGAACGAGGUGCUUUUGUAGCAAUACGAAAGUAUCCUAGUGGCGAAUGGGUGAGUAACGCGUUGGUGACCUACCCCAAAGUGUGGGAUAACAGUCCGAAAGGAUUGCUAAUACCGCAUGUGGUUAUCGGAUUUAGAAACUGAUAACUAAAGGAGCAAUUCGCUUUGGGAGGGACCUGCGUCCCAUCAGCUAGUUGGUGAGGUAAUGGCUCACCAAGGCUACGACGGGUAGGGGACCUGAGAGGGUGACCCCCCACAAUGGAACUGAAACACGGUCCAUACACCUACGGGAGGCUG
rnacentral:rRNA from 1 species